rnacentral:ncRNA from 1 species
UCGUGAGUCGCUGAUGGCUUGAGGCUAUCGCGACGAGCUCCAUGGCGUUCAGGAAGAAUGACGCGGAGUUUCACCAGAAAAAAGGAA